GUUCUGCUUCAGUCAUUAUUAACAGGCAUGGGGUAUUUGCACUGUAAAAAUUAGAGACGUGUUUGGAAGAUGGGACUGGGGAGAGCAAAGGCUUGCUGACCUAAGAUGCAAUGAUAGGAUCUACAAAAGGCAUCACAGUAAAGGAGAGUUUUGAUGAGGGAUUUGAAGAAGGACAACGAGCUAGCUUUCUGAAUGUUUACAGGGAGUUCCUCCCAAGUGUGAUGGGCAACAUGGGAGAUAGCACAAAGUUAACCGAGGUACUGGACUGAAACAUGGAUGAUUUGAGCUUGGGAUAUGAUAAAGAGAAAACCCAAAUUCAUAUAUCGAUAUGGAACCCUGAAGAACCUGCUCCCCUCUACCAGUACAGGCACAGCUAAAGCCUGCAAGACCCAGUAAGUCCUAAGAGAUCACCACUAACCUAAGGAACUGAGAUAGGACUGACAGUACCUCCCAGCAUACAACCGGAUCAUGAUGGACAAUCACUCUACUUGUUGGAAGGAAGCAUGCCUCGUGUCAGGGACAGACUACACCCUUCAAUACUGAAAAGGCAGCCAGAGUUCCCCCCAUGCUUACAAAAACACUGUCUCUUAAGCCUAGCAGACCCUGAGAAGCCUGGGUCAUCCACACAGAGGGCCUGUACCGACUUACUGGCUCUGGUCCCCAGAGCCUCCUCUCUGGCUUUCCCAGCAGCCCAACUUCAUUGGAACUGGACCCUUUCAACAACCACUGCACCAUG